UUUUUUCUUUGCUAUUUAGGGCUGUACCUGCCUAGUUCCCAGGCUAAGGGUUGAAUUGAACCUACAGCUGUUGGCCUACACCACACACAGCCACAGCAAUGCAGGAUCUGAGCUGUGUCUGUGACCUAUACCAUAGUUCAUGGCAAUGACGGAUCCUUAACCCACUGAACGAGGCCAGGGGGAUGGAACCCGCAUCCUCAUGGAUCCUAGGCAGGGUUGUUAACUGCUGAGCCAUGAAGGGAACUCCUGAAUAAGCUUUCAAUGACUUUUUUAAAAGUAUGCCUAAAUCCUAUGUGAUGCUUUUGAUGGAGGUCUCCAGCAAUGCCAGCCUAGCAGAAAGACUGGGAUCUUAGAGGUGUCACAAACCUUCAUCUUGAAUUCUAAACUGUUCCUGUUUUACAGCUGUACCAGUUGAGGCCCAUCAAAAUCAGAUGGCCUGUUUCAGGUGACACGGCAAGCUGUCUUGACAAAAGCUGGCAAAACUGUGAAACUGGGUUAGAUGACAUUUCAGGGUCACCAUGGAGAACAAUGGCUUCCCUUGUGAGCCACCAAUUGCUCUCCCAGAGUGGGCUAUGUCUCUGGCAAUUUCUAUCCUUGAAAGGCCCUACAUUGCAUAAUCUUACUCUUGGGGAUAAGAAGGAGAUGGGAUCUAAAUGAUGGCAUUUUGGGAACCUACUUAGAGAUCUUGCAAGGUCUCCUUCACCAUUUUUCCGAGGAGGGUGUAUGUCCCAGAAGUAAGUAUGACCCUUUGGCUCCUCUGAGUUUCCUGGUAAGAGUAUCUGUGAGGCAGUCAUUCACACACUAGUAUGUUUUAAACUUCUCUAAAAAGAUAACCCUUUAUUGCACAGACCCUGAAAGGGUAGAGGUGAGAGGUGGGGGAAAAGUAAAGCUUUGCUCUCCUAUCUUCCUGCUGUGAAAUCCUAUCCAUCUUUCAAGAUUCCACUCAAAUGUCAUUUCUUCCAGAAAACCUUCCUCAAUCUUUCUUGGUAGACAGGUUGCUCCCCUUUGACUGCUUCAGUAAAUACCUUGGUCAUAUUCUAGUCCAGCACUUCUCAUAAUCUCUCCCAUAUGUUUAGUUAUUUGUGGGUUGAUUUUAUAUUCCUUAUAGUUCUCCCAGUACCAGGAGCCCCUUGAGGGCAGGGGGUACUUUUACUUCCUUACCCCAUGUAUUGCCUAGCUUAGAAAAAGUAAGGUUACCUUUUGGUAUCUUGAAGCCCUGAAAUGACUUAGAAGGCAGAUGUGAGGUGGUUAAGGCCCAGUCUUGCACAGCCUUCUCUAACUCCUGGGCCACCUCUCUACAGCAAAGUUUGCCUCCCUUCAAAAGGAGCCUUCAUUCUCCUCUCUCCUCUCAUACCCUGGUGCAGAACCCAGUGUGUGCUGCCUGCCUACCUGCUCUGGUUCCAGACGGUGCAGGGUAGAUCCCCAGCUUCAUGACCUCAAACAAGUUACAUCAUCUCUCUCUUCAGUUUCCUCUUUCAUAAAACCUGCCUCUUAAGGCUGUUGUUCUGAGGAUUGAAUAUUACACGUGUAGUACUUAAUACAGCACAAUUUCUUGCACAUACUAAUCUCAACAAAUAGUAGCAAUGAUUUUUAUUUCAAUGAAGUGAAGAACAAAAAAUGCUUAGGACAGUGUCUGGCAUAUAAUAAAGGUUGGGUGUAAGCUGCCAUUUUUAUUUUUGUCUUAGGAAAGCAGAGCAAUGUCGUUUGGAAUCCUUGGAAUCCACAUUGAGCCAAAUUCCUGUUCGUUAACUGCUAGCUAAGGUAUCCUGGGAGAAUUGAUACAUCUAAAAGCAGAUCUCUCAUCUCUAAAAUGGGGGAUAUUGCUACUCUACAGGAUUGUGGUGAUGCUUUAGAGAAAGGAAAAAAAAAAUGACUUAAAAGUUGUGGCAGACUACAUUUACCAAAGAUAGCAACAAUAAUAUCUAUCAGCCAACAUGCUCUUCUAGAAAAUUGUUACCAGCAUCCCAAUUCCCAACUUCAUCAAGAGGCAGAGCCUCGGUCCUGUCUUCUUGAAUCUGGUUGGGCUCACAGGUCAAGAGAACACAGUUGUUGAGAUGCUGGGUGACCUCACAGCUAGGUCAUAAAAUGCCCCAAAGCUUUCAUCUUGUUCGUUGUCACUUGCCUUUGGAUCCUUGAGAUGCCACCUAAGAGGGCCACAUGGAUGAGGAAGUGCAAGCUGCAAGAAGAGGUCAUUCAGCAGGUGGCUCACAACCUCCCCAGCUGAUGCCCUGUGGCUCCCCAGCCACAGGGCAGCAUCAGCUGCACAGGUAUGGAGUGAAGAUGCUUGUAGAUGAUGCCAGCCUUAAAGCCUUCCCAACUGAGGCCCCAGACAGCGUGGAGUAGAGACAAGAAGUUUCCUACAGAAACUGAUUUGUUUUAAGCCUGGAAUUUUGAACUAAUUUGUUAUGCAGCAAUAGUUCCAAUAAACUGCUAGUACCUAGUAAAGACCAGAUAAGAGGAAGUAACAGGAUGUGUUAUUAGAGCUGUUAACAGGAUGUGUUAUUAGAGCUGUUGUUCUGAGGAUGUGUUAUUAGAGCUGUUGUUCUGAGGCUCUCACGGGGGCUUGUCCACCCAAGAAGCCCUAGAGUACAACCCAGCUGCCGGAAAACCCCGCCCCUCGGUCUUCGGCCCCGCCCACCAGCCUCUCAGCCAAUGAGACUCCAGCCCGUAAGCCUCCCUCUCCCUACCCCCUCCCUAUUCCUGGGGCAGAGGAGAGAACGCUGGGUUGAAGUGGCUUAUUGGAGUCCUAGGUGGAAACUGUGGCAGAGCCUGGAGCCCUUCUUCCUUGUUCGGGCAAGGCUGUCCCAGUGCUCGGGCUGCUUUUGUGGAGGGCUGGUCCGCUCUGCCUGGGUGAGGACAGCGUCGUUAAUCUCCUGUCCUUGGCCGCUGUUACACUGUUACGCGGUGACUGGACGGAGGUCAGCUUCACUGGACACAUUCUUUGUUGCAGUUAAGCCAAGCCCUUCAGCUCUGAGAAUUGGCCUAAGCUUGAUUAACUCGCGAGGAAGAGGAAAAUUUACAUUGUGGGGACUGCAGAAUGAGAUAUUUAAGCUGUUCUCUUAAAAAUAAAUGCUUUCCAUCUUGCUGCUUUCAAAGCCAGAUGCUCGCCUGCUUGCAGCCUGCGUGCUCUCUCUCUCCCCACCUCCCUCCAGCGUCUCCUACUCUACUCCCCUCUACUCUUUUUGCUCUCAAACUGGCUUGCUCCCUCCUCCCUCUCCAGUGUUUGCUCCCUUUUUGCCUCCACGCCUCCUCUCUGUUCUCUCUCAUCUCUUCCUGCCUGCCUCUUCAUUGGUGUCUCCUGUCGUUUUUUUUUUCUCUCUUUUCUGCUUGGCUCUUUCCAGGAGAUGCCACUUUUCAGCACCGUUGUUUCUGAGUGGUAAAAACAUGCCAGUUUUGGAAGCUGACACCCGUGUGGUCCCCAAAAGGUAGCAGAGGGAAGGUGGGAUUCUGGAACUUCUUUCAUUUAGCUUUGCUCAGAUUCUGAGUGUUCCUGGUGGAGAAUGUGCCCAGCAAUGUGUUGCACAUUUAAUGGGCAGGAUCUUCUGUCGUCAGCAGAGGGCCAGUACAAGCUGCCCUGAGGUUGGUGGUCCAUCCAUUAGGGCUCAGUGGAAUUUUUCCUAGGCUGUCCCGAGGGGACAUGUGUGGGCAGUGAACAAGGAAGAGAUCUAAGGCAGAUUACGCCUCUCUCUGAAGGCUGAGGAAACAGUCUUAGACUUGGAGGAGAGCUCUCUGGCCCGUGUUAGCUGUGUGAUCUUAGGCCAGUCACUUUACCUCUCUGAGCCUGUUCCUCACCCAUAAAAUGGGAUAAUGGCUGUCAUCUUGCCUUCCUCAGGGAGCCAUUGUGAGGCUCCCUCGAGCUAAUGAAUGAGAACACAUUUUGCAAAGUAUAAAGUGCUGUACAAAUUUAAAUGCUUUUUAUUAUUGUUGUUAUCAUGAUCAUAAUUUUUAUGUCCCACUAAUGCUCAUCUUACAACUCAUCAGCAUUAAGAAGCAGCAGCUCUAAGUGGAAUGAGAUCUUGUUUCUCCCUCGUGCAUGAAUUUUAGGUGUACUUGUGGGAAAUCAAUAUUACUGUUUCAAGAGGCCUUUAUCAAGCCCCCUGCUUCUGCCCACCCUGCUCCUAUAGGCCUUGCCAGGACCCAGACGUACAAAGGAGGCUGGAAAAGCCAGAGCUGUUCCUGCGGGGGACUCACCCCUGUGUCCUGUCCUUGCUGCCCGCACCCUGCUCCCUUCUUACAUCUGCCUAGCGUCCUGCAUGCCUGGCACCGACCUGAUCUUUGUCGCUGAGACGGAGCAGCUUCUCCAGGGUAACCAAGAGAAGGUAUUCUCUUCCAAUGCAGGUAUUCCCCCUCCAUCCCCGGCCUCAGACUCUUGGGCUCCCCCUUGUGGCAGGCCCUGGCCAGGCCCACUUUCCCGACCUUCCCGGAGGUCUGAUAACCUGGGAAGCCACGAACCCCCUUUUUGGAAACUGUGGCUCCUCUGACCUGCAGAUUUCGCCAUUCCUGCGGGCUCCUAAGACCACGCCCCGGGCGCCUUUGGGAGGAGCAAGGGCGGCUCCGAGGGGAAAGCAGCCAUCUAGCGACCUGUGCUCCUCUUGGCAGCUGCUUUGUUAUUAAAACCAGUCCCAAGCC
rnacentral:lncRNA from 1 species